GACGGAGGAUGCAAGUGUUAUCCGGAAUCACUGGGCGUAAAGCGUCUGUAGGUCGUUCAAUAAGUCAACUGUUAAAUCUUGAGGCUCAACUUCAAAAUCGCAGUCGAAACUAUUAAACUAGAGUAUAGUAGGGGUAAAGGGAAUUUCCGGUGGAGCGGUGAAAUGCGUAGAGAUCGGAAAGAACACCAACGGCGAAAGCACUCUGCUGGGCCGACACUGACACUGAGAGACGAAAGCUAGGGGAGCGAAUGGG
rnacentral:rRNA from 1 species